GACAGAGGGUGCAAACGUUGUUCGGAAUUACUGGGCGUAAAGCGAGCGUAGGCGGUUUGGUAAGUCGGAUGUGAAAGCCCCGGGCUCAACCCGGGAAGUGCACUCGAUACUGCCAAGCUAGAGUAUCGGAGAGGUUGGUGGAAUUCUCGGUGUAGAGGUGAAAUUCGUAGAUAUCGAGAGGAACACCGGUGGCGAAGGCGGCCAACUGGACGAAUACUGACGCUGAGACUCGAAAGCGUGGGGAGCAAACAGG
rnacentral:rRNA from 1 species